rnacentral:rRNA from 1 species
AACGUAGGAGGCGAGCGUUAUCCGGAUUUACUGGGCGUAAAGCGCGUGUAGGCGGUCCGGCAAGUUGGAUGUGAAAUCUCUCGGCUCAACCGGGAGAGGUCGUUCAAUACUGCUGGACUCGAGAGCGGUAGAGGGGGGUGGAAUUCCGGGUGUAGCGGUGAAAUGCGUAGAUAUCCGGAGGAACACCAGUGGCGAAGGCGGCCCCCUGGACCGUCUCUGACGCUCAGACGCGAAAGCUAGGGGAGCAAACGGG